rnacentral:lncRNA from 1 species
CAACAGCAUAGUGAAUUGCUCUAAGAGAAAACAAAAAAUUUAAGUUCAUUAGAACACAUUCAUUCUGUGUCAGAAACCUAUGCUGUGUCAACUAUUUAAUCACAAUCCAAAUUUAGAGCUGAAUCCAGCUUGAAUGUUGUGUCCAUACUUGCCCCAACCGUUCAGGGUUCAACCUCUGCGGUCGUAUAAAGCUACGCCCUGCGGAGCAUCUGGUUCCUUAAUAUU